CUAUCGCAUGAUAGAGGGGUCAAAGAAAUAUCGCUUAUGGAUGGGCUCGCGUCCCAUUAGGUAGUUGGUGAGGUAGAGGCCCACCAAGCCGACGAUGGGUAGCCGACCUGAGAGGGUGAUCGGCCACAUUGGAACUGAGACACGGUCCAAACUCCUACGGGAGGCAGCAGUAGGGAAUAUUGGGCAAUGGGGGCAACCCUGACCCAGCAACGCCGCGUGAGGGAAGAAGGUUCUCUGGAUUGUAAACCUCUGUCCUAUGGGACGAAGAAGUGACGGUACCAUAGGAGGAAGCCCCGGCUAACUACGUGCCAGCAGCCGCGGUAAUACGUAGGGGGCGAGCGUUGUCCGGAAUGACUGGGCGUAAAGGGCGUGUAGGCGACUUUUUAAGUCUGGAGUGAAAGCCCCGCUGUUAAGGUGGGGAGUGCUUUGGAGACUGGAGAGCUUGAGUGCGGAAGAGGUAAGUGGAAUUCCCAGUGUAGCGGUGAAAUGCGUAGAGAUUGGGAGGAACACCAGUGGCGAAGGCGACUUACUGGGCCGUAACUGACGCUGAGGCGCGAAAGCGUGGGGAGCGAACAGGAUUAGAUACCCUGGUAGU
rnacentral:rRNA from 1 species